rnacentral:pre_miRNA from 1 species
AGCCUUCUGUAUCCGUGCUGAGAUUUCNCUGAUGAGACUUCCAAGAUAAGUGAAGCG